rnacentral:lncRNA from 1 species
UUGAGGGGUAGGUUCUGUGUAUACCCAAAGUACCUAAUAGAACUUUGCAAAUAAAGAUUAGGUGCUCUCCCUCUUAGGUUAAUUAUUUUUGCUAGUGGAAUGUGAUGAUAUCCUUGAUCAGACAUAAGCAAGCACUUGGCACCUCUGAUAUUGUGAUAGGGAGAGUGAUGUGUGACAGGGUAAUGAUUGACAGCCCCACCAGAAAUCAAAUGGUGUGAAGGCAGGACGAUGUUGCCCGGGGAUGCUGGGCAGACAGAAAUAAUAACUGUCUUGUAUAAAUUCUAGCUCAGACACAAUAUUACAUGUUUCACUAGGUGGUCAGACUACGCCGCAGGAUAC